rnacentral:rRNA from 1 species
UACAGAGGUCUCAAGCGUUGUUCGGAAUCACUGGGCGUAAAGGGCGCGUAGGCGGCCACGUGCGUCCGUUGUGAAAUCGCCCGGCUCAACUGGGCGGGGUCAGCGGAUACGGCGUGGCUGGAGCAAGCUAGGGGGCAAUGGAAUUCCCGGUGUAGUGGUGGAAUGCGUAGAUAUCGGGAAGAACACCCGUGGCGAAGGCGGCUCUCUGGGACGGUACUGACGCUGAGACGCGAAAGCGUGGGGAGCGAACAGG